GACGAACGCUGGCGGCGUGCUUAACACAUGCAAGUCGAGCGGUAAGGCCUCUUCGGGGGUACACGAGCGGCGAACGGGUGAGUAACACGUGGGCGACCUACCCUCAGCUCUGGGAUAAGCCUGGGAAACUGGGUCUAAUACCGGAUAGGACCGCAUGUCGCAUGGUGUGUGGUGGAAAGUUUGUUCUUAAUUGGACACUUCGGCUGGGGAUGGGCCCGCGGCCUAUCAGCUUGNGGUGGGGUGAUGGCCUACCAAGGCGACGACGGGUAGCCGGCCUGAGAGGGCGACCGGCCACACUGGGACUGAGAUACGGCCCAGACUCCUACGGGAGGCAGCAGUGGGGAAUAUUGCGCAAUGGGCGGAAGCCUGACGCAGCGACGCCGCGUGGGGGA
rnacentral:rRNA from 1 species